rnacentral:rRNA from 1 species
GUGGACGCCAGUCUGCAUGGAGCCGACCUUGAAAUACCACCCUUUAAUGUUUGAUGUUCUAACGUGGACCCGUAAUCCGGGUUGCGGACAGUGUCUGGUGGGUAGUUUGACUGGGGCGGUCUCCUCCUAAAGAGUAACGGAGGAGCACGAAGGUUGGCUAAUCCUGGUCGGACAUCAGGAGGUUAGUGCAAUGGCAUAAGCCAGCUUGACUGCGAGCGUGACGGCGCGAGCAGGUGCGAAAGCAGGUCAUAGUGAUCCGGUGGUUCUGAAUGGAAGGGCCAUCGCUCAACGGAUAAAAGGUACUCCGGGGAUAACAGGCUGAUACCGCCCAAGAGUUCAUAUCGACGGCGGUGUUUGGCACCUCGAUGUCGGCUCAUCACAUCCUGGGGCUGAAGUAGGUCCCAAGGGUAUGGCUGUUCGCCAUUUAAAGUGGUACGCGAGCUGGGUUUAGAACGUCGUGAGACAGUUCGGUCCCUAUCUGCCGUGGGCGCUGGAGAAUUGAGGGGGGCUGCUCCUAGUACGAGAGGACCGGAGUGGACGCAUCACUGGUGUUCGGGUUGUCAUGCCAAUGGCACUGCCCGGUAGCUAAAUGCGGAAAAGAUAAGUGCUGAAAGCAUCUAAGCACGAAAC